UUGUCCAGGCAAAUCCGGAUAAUCAAGGCUGAGGUGUGAUGACGAGGCACUACGGUGCUGAAGUAACAAAUGCCCUGCUUCCAGGAAAAGCCUCUAAGCAUCAGGUAACAUUAAAUCGUACCCCAAACCGACACAGGUGGUCAGGUAGAGAAUACCAAGGCGCUUGAGAGAACUCGGGUGAAGGAACUAGGCAAAAUGGUGCCGUAACUUCGGGAGAAGGCACGCUGGUGUGUAGGUGAAGUCCCUGCGGAUGGAGCUGAGACCAGUCGAAGAUACCAGCUGGCUGCAACUGUUUAUUAAAAACACAGCACUGUGCAAACACGAAAGUGGACGUAUACGGUGUGACGCCUGCCCGGUGCCGGAAGGUUAAUUGAUGGGGUUAUCCGUAAGGAGAAGCUCUUGAUCGAAGCCCCGGUAAACGGCGGCCGUAACUAUAACGGUCCUAAGGUAGCGAAAUUCCUUGUCGGGUAAGUUCCGACCUGCACGAAUGGCGUAAUGAUGGCCAGGCUGUCUCCACCCGAGACUCAGUGAAAUUGAACUCGCUGUGAAGAUGCAGUGUACCCGCGGCAAGACGGAAAGACCCCGUGAACCUUUACUAUAGCUUGACACUGAACAUUGAGCCUUGAUGUGUAGGAUAGGUGGGAGGCUUUGAAGCGUGGACGCCAGUCUGCGUGGAGCCAACCUUGAAAUACCACCCUUUAAUGUUUGAUGUUCUAACGUUGGCCCCUGACCGGGGUUGCGGACAGUGUCUGGUGGGUAGUUUGACUGGGGCGGUCUCCUCCCAAAGCGUAACGGAGGAGCACGAAGGUUAGCUAAUCCUGGUCGGACAUCAGGAGGUUAGUGCAAUGGCAUAAGCUAGCUUGACUGCGAGCGUGACGGCGCGAGCAGGUGCGAAAGCAGGUCAUAGUGAUCCGGUGGUUCUGAAUGGAAGGGCCAUCGCUCAACGGAUAAAAGGUACUCCGGGGAUAACAGGCUGAUACCGCCCAAGAGUUCAUAUCGACGGCGGUGUUUGGCACCUCGAUGUCGGCUCAUCACAUCCUGGGGCUGAAGUAGGUCCCAAGGGUAUGGCUGUUCGCCAUUUAAAGUGGUACGCGAGCUGGGUUUAGAACGUCGUGAGACAGUUCGGUCCCUAUCUGCCGUGGGCGCUGGAGAAUUGAGGGGGGCUGCUCCUAGUACGAGAGGACCGGAGUGGACGCAUCACUGGUGUUCGGGUUGUCAUGCCAAUGGCACUGCCCGGUAGCUAAAUGCGGAAGAGAUAAGUGCUGAAAGCAUCUAAGCACGAAACUUGCCCCGAGAUGAGUUCUCCCUGAGACUUUAAGUCUCCUGAAGGAACGUUGAAGACGACGACGUUGAUAGGCCGGGUGUGUAAGCGCAGCGAUGCGUUGAGCUAACCGGUACUAAUGAACCGUGAGGCUUAACCUU
rnacentral:rRNA from 2 species